rnacentral:lncRNA from 1 species
AUGGCUAAAAGACCGGGACCCCCUGGAAGCCGGGAAAUGGGACUGUUGACAUUCAGAGACAUAGCUAUAGAAUUCUCUCUGGAGGAAUGGCAAUGCCUGGAUUGUGCUCAGCGGAAUUUAUAUAGACAUGUGAUGUUAGAGAACUACAGAAACUUGGUCUCCCUGGGUGGUAUUGCUGUCUCUAAGCCAGACUUGAUCACCUGUCUGGAGCAAAAUAAAGAGUCCCAGAAUAUAAAGAGAAAUGAGAUGGUAGCCAAACGCCCACAGUUACGCAUUCCCAUUUCACCCAAGACCUUCAGCCAGAGCAGGGCAUCAAAGAUUCACUCCAAAAAGUAAUACCAAGAACAUAUGGAAAAUGUGGACAUGAGAAAUUACAAUUUAAAAAAUGCUGUAAAAGUGUGGGUGAAUGUGAGGUGCCCAAAGAGGUUAUAGUGAAGUUAACCAAUGUUUGUCAACUACCCAAAACAAAAUAUUUCAGACUCAUAAAUAUGUCAAAGUCUUUGGUAAAUUUUCAAAUUCCAAUAGAGAUAAAACAAGAUAUACUGGAAAGAAACAUUUCAAAUGUAACAAAUAUGGCAAAUCAUUUUGCAUGCUUUCACACCUAAAUCAACAUCAGGUAAUUCAUACUAGGGAGAAGUCCUACAAAUGCAAAGAAUGUGGCAAAUCCUUUAACUGCUCCUCAAACCAUACUACACAUAAAAUAAUUCAUACUGGAGAGAAACCAUAUAGAUGUGAGGAAUGUGGCAAAGCCUUUAGCUGGUCCGCAAACCUUACUAGACAUAAGAGAAUUCAUACUGGAGAGAAACCCUACACAUGUGAAGAAUGUGGCCAAGCCUUUAGGCGCUCCUCAGCACUUACUAACCACAAGAGAAUUCAUACUGGAGGGAGACCCUACAAAUGUGAAGAAUGUGGCAAAGCCUUUAGCGUAUCCUCAACCCUCACUGACCACAAGAGAAUUCAUACUGGAGAGAAACCCUGCAGGUGUGAGGAAUGUGGCAAAGCCUUUAGCUGGUCCUCAAACCUUACUAGACAUAAGAGAAUUCAUACUAGAGAAAACCCUAUGCCUGUGAAGAAUGUGGCCAAGCCUUUAGCUUAUCCUCGAACCUUACUAGACAUAAGAGAAUUCAUACUGGAGAGAAACCCUACACAUAUGAAGAAUGUGGCCAAGACUUUAGGCGCUCCUCAGCACUUACUAUCCACAAGAGAAUUCAUACUGGAGAGAGACCCUACAAAUGUGAAGAGUGUGGCAAAGUCUUUAGCUUAUCCUCAACCCUCACUGACCACAAGAGAAUUCAUACUGGAGAGAGACCCUACAAAUGUGAAGAAUGUGGCAAAGCCUUUAGCUUAUCCUCAACCCUCACUGACCACAAGAGAAUUCACACUGGAGAGAGACCCUACACAUGUGAAGAAUGUGGCAAAGCCUUUAAUUGCUCCUCAACCCUUAUGCAACAUAAGAGAAUUCAUACUGGAGAGAAACCCUACAAAUGUGAAGAAUGUGACCAAGCUUUUAAGUGGCAUUCAAGUCUUGCUAAACAUAAGAUAAUUCACACUGGAGAGAAACCCUACAAAUGUG